AACAGAAUAAUUAACAUUUCUUUUAUUGCUUAAGCAUAUCGCUGUCAUUCAAGAUUUACUUAAUCGAGGAAGAAAAAGAAUUGUUUAUCCCCAACGCUGAAUUUGCGAAUAGGGGGAGUGUAUCAAGAUCACGUUAUCAAAAAAUUCUAACACUGAAUCGGCAAUAUCCUGGUGUUACGAUUUCAUUUCCGGUGGUAAGGUACCCCCAGGUGUCGUAAUUGAAUACUUGUAUCAUGUCUUCAAAGAGAUUAAAGAGAAUCUCAAUAAAAACUGGGUAUCUUACAAUGUUACUAGGAUUACGUCGUCCUUUCAUGGGCCUCUUCAGUUUAGGGCACCUUUGUGCGGCAGCUUCCAUUGAGAUGAUUGAGCUUUGGUUUCCACUUCAUAACCAUAAACCCACGAUUCGUGACCACGACGCCACAGUCAACAUUCGGAAUGCAUCCGCCCACUUAAUUUUGUUUUUUACACAAAAUUGGAUACAGGUUCUUUGACCCAUUUUUUUGAACAGGUAAUAAUCGAAGACGAUCCAAAACACGUGCAUGCAAAUCAACUGUCAACAAUUAAGUGUACAUUCAAAAUGGCCCAGCUUGUCGGCAUAAGGGACAGACAGGAGUACCAACAAACCGCCACAAACAAAUCAAAAUUCGUGAAAAAUUAAAAAAUUCGCGAUACUUUGCGAAAUUCGGGAAAUAAUAUGUAUUUAUUCUAAAUCUACUAUUAAUUAGUUACAGGGGCGCCGAGCGUGGGCGUGGUCGCAUUUUUUUCACAAAUUAUCAAUGCUAUUACAAUAAAAUGUGUGAAGUUUAAACCAUGUAACUCAAUUUUUCGACUUUAUGCGCAAAAAUCUAAUUCUGCAGUGGUUGUACGUACUAAAUAGGUAUUAAAUGUUUCGAUACUUCUACAUUGCAGCCCUAAUUACAAUGUAACCCUAGACAAGAGCAAGUUAUCGAUAGGAAGGGAGCGAGUGUAGAGUCGAGAGUCAAGUGGAAAAUUUGUCAAAAGCGGUUGUUACUAAAUCUAAAUUUCGUCAUAAGUCUAUAUAAUUAAAUGUUAAGCUAUAUUUUUUGUUUAAAUAAACCAUAUAAGCGGAAAACUUGCCCUCGUCCUUGCAGUACUUCGAUUAAAUGUUGGUGACUACAAACAAAAUUUUGUACUUGUUAAAGAUUUUCUAUAAAAAACACAUUUGGAUUUAGAAUUGACCUUUGAGCAGAUCUGCUGCGUCGUUGUCGUUCUUUUGCCUAAAUUGGCAGUAUGAUUUAAGCGCAUAAUUAAUGAAAAGAAAUAACCGAAAAAGUAUUGUCGAGACCAAAAAACGUUUAGAAAACGUAUUACCUGUCAAGAUUAUUGGGAAAUAAUGACCCGGGAGAAGUUCUCUAUUGGUUUUGCGCUCCAACAAUUUUUCUUGAAGUUAAAGUUAUGCUAACGAAUCGGUCGGAUGCGGAAAUAUAGACCUUGAGGUCGCGUUUCCACUCUUCAAUAAUGCAAUCAUGCUCGCUCAUGAUUCCAUUCUGGACAUUGCAACAAAUGCCGCAUGCAUAUACAUUGCGCACAAGAACAAUUCAGAGAACAGGGCUGGUUACAAGCCCAGAAAGGCAAGGAGACAACAGAGAGCCGAGAAAAGCCUCCCUGCUGGUUGCACAAGCAAUCGGCGACAAACGCCUUGGAAUGGCACGGUCUAUUCUCUGACUAGAGCUUCAAAUUACCGCAAGCCGAUAUUGACGACCCAGAGAAAGCAGCUAACGGCUCGAUCGCCCAUUUCAAAUCCAGGCGUCAUCGGUGCUGUCAAUCCAAUAUAAAAAUUGUCUUUAAGUAGCCUGGGAGGCGAGAAGAGGAAGUCAGCAGGAUGGUAAAACCUAAGCCACCGCUAUACGCCGCGCUGAGCCCUAGUGGCUCGGCGAUUGUUAAAAAGUUUAAAAGUUAAAAAUUUUACUGAAUCGAAGUUGCCAGAAGCAGUAACGUAGUGUAAAGCAUCGUU